CCUACGGGUGGCUGCAGUGAGGAAUUUUGCGCAAUGGCCGCAAGGCUGACGCAGCAACGCCGCGUGGGUGAUGAAGGCCUUCGGGUCGUAAAGCCCUGUCAGGUGGGAAGAAAGGCCUUGAUAAGAAACGGUUGAGGUUUGACGGUACCACCAGAGGAAGCACCGGCUAACUCCGUGCCAGCAGCCGCGGUAAUACGGAGGGUGCGAGCGUUAUUCGGAAUUACUGGGCGUAAAGCGCGUGUAGGCGGGGAUGCAAGUCUGAUGUGAAAGCCCUGGGCUUAACCUGGGAAGUGCAUUGGAAACUGCAUUUCUUGAGUACUGGAGAGGAAGGGGGAAUUCCCGGUGUAGAGGUGAAAUUCGUAGAGAUCGGGAGGAAUACCAGUGGCGUAGGCGCCCUUCUGGACGGUAACUGACGCUGAGACGCGAAAGCGUGGGGAGCAAACAGGAUUAGAUACCCUUGUAGUC
rnacentral:rRNA from 1 species